rnacentral:rRNA from 1 species
UGGCCAUAUCAUGUUGAAACAUUGGUUCUCAUAUAAUCACCAAAGUCAAGCAAUGCUGAGCCUGGUUAGUACCUAGAUGGGUAACCACUUAGGAAUGCCAGGUGCUGUAAG